rnacentral:misc_RNA from 1 species
UGCUCUCUGAUUUGAAACUCGGUUUAAUGUGACCAUCUGGCGCGAGUUAGGACGGCGACCGUUUGUUGGACAUGAUGGAAUGAAGCUAAAACUUGAAGUUUCUGCCACAAAAAUCAUAACUCACCUGUGCAAUUUGGACAAGAAAAGCGAAUAGCAUCGCCCAUUAAUCAAACAAGCCCAGUUCUCAAAUACGAUUUUGGAGAGCAUUCAAAUAGUUUAUGACUUUAUGGAAUCUUCCCUACUGCCCCGCAGAGUCAGGGGCCAGUAGGCCAGCGCCAACGGAGAAAACAAGGAUGAAAGCAAGCGUCCCGUUCUAGUUGAGCAAUACCGUUGAAGGCAGAAAGGACCCACCACGGAAGCACACAAACGCUGACCCUGACGGCCCCAGAUGCAAUAGGGAACCCUUUUACUUACAGGGAUAGAUGAGUCAUAAAAUAAAAAGCUCAGGAUAAUUUUGUAAUUCCGCUUACGGCACUAUAUAAUGGUGAAAAGAUGAAGAUGAGGCCAUAGACAACGCUUCCUCCAGGAAAGAUAUUCUUCUGUUUGUAGCCUAGAUGUCAGAUUCAGGCUGGGUUAUUCUGGUAAGCUAAUUUUAGAUUUAGAUUUUUCGAAAUGUUUGGUUUAUGCUAACUGUUGAUGAAGAUGAGAAUUCUAAUUUGUGGGAAACAAAUGCGGCGAUGAUGAUGAGCAAGACCUUUUAUUUCCUGAGGUAUUUUGCCCAUGAUAAGGUUUCAAGCACUUUUUGAGCCGCAUGAUAAGGUUUCAUUGUGUCUAUUUUUUUUUAUCCAAAACAAAUGGUUCGCCGGUUACUGAGUUAAUGCUUAUUAUUGUUCGUUACUUCAAAGCUUCUCCUGUGUACUUUGAUUUUGCUAAAUUCUAAUUGUUUCAGUACUAAAGUAGUGGAGGUGGAGCCAAUUAAUUGGAAAAUCCCUGAUUUUCUAAUGAUUCAAGAACAACUCAAUCCUUUUAACUAGUGUAUUUAAUAUGUGUUAAUAAGCUUUCAUCAUGCAUGUGUUUGGCUAAUUUAUGUGGUUUGGAGUUGAGCCAUAGAAUUAUUGGCAGAAAACAUAAUUUGGCAUCUGAGCUUUGGUCCAAAAGCUUGAUGUAGGAAUGACAAGAAGUUAGAUAUUUUUGGGUAUUGGAUUGGUUUAGUUAUGCUAUUUUUGUGGGUAUUUUACCUAUUAAAAUCCCCCAAUUCAGUGGCAUUCCUUUAUAGAAAAGUGUUGAAAUUGCUGAGAUUUUGCUGGAAUGCUCUAUGUUUUAGUUAAAAAGCAAUAAUUAUCUUUGCUUUAAAGGAAAUUAAUUGUUAUAAUAGUUGUUGACCAAUAAAAUCUUUCACCUAGGAGCUGCUGUGAGAGAGCUGAGAAUAGGAGUGAGUUGAGAGGAGAAGAAAGUGAUGAAACUGAAG